AACCUAAGAAAACCAUUAUAAACCUCUCUUUUCGCAAGCGCCUCUCCUUUUCUCUCUCUCAGUCGCUCGCUCUCUUCAUCCAUCAGUAAAAGGGUCUGCUUUUCUCUCUCUCAGUCGCUCUCUCUCUCCAUCCAUUAACAAAAGGGUCUGCCUCCAAACCUCGCUUGGUCUCUUCAUCCAUCGGCAAAAGGGUCUGCCUCCAAACCAAACAAAGUAGGUGAUCCUCUAGAGAAGGCUGCACUUAAGGGAAUUGAUUGGAGUUAUAAGUCAGAUGAAAAGGCCAUGCCAAAAAGGGGAAGUGGCAAUGCUGUUCAGAUUGUUCAGAGACACCACUUUGCAUCCCACUUGAAGAGAAUGGCAGUUGUUCACAUUCAG